AAUAGAUACCCCGGUAGUCCACGCCGUAAACGAUGAGUGCUAAGUGUUAGAGGGUUUCCGCCCUUUAGUGCUGAAGUUAACGCAUUAAGCACUCCGCCUGGGGAGUACGGCCGCAAGGCUGAAACUCAAAGGAAUUGACGGGGGCCCGCACAAGCGGUGGAGCAUGUGGUUUAAUUCGAAGCAACGCGAAGAACCUUACCAGGUCUUGACAUCCUCUGACAACCCUAGAGAUAGGGCUUCUCCUUCGGGAGCAGAGUGACAGGUGGUGCAUGGUUGUCGUCAGCUCGUGUCGUGAGAUGUUGGGUUAAGUCCCGCAACGAGCGCAACCCUUGAUCUUAGUUGCCAUCAUUAAGUUGGGCACUCUAAGGUGACUGCCGGUGACAAACCGGAGGAAGGUGGGGAUGACGUCAAAUCAUCAUGCCCCUUAUGACCUGGGCUACACACGUGCUACAAUGGACGGUACAAAGAGCUGCAAGACCGCGAGGUGGAGCUAAUCUCAUAAAACCGUUCUCAGUUCGGAUUGUAGG
rnacentral:rRNA from 1 species